rnacentral:rRNA from 1 species
AUUGAACGCUGGCGGCAUGCUUUACACAUGCAAGUCGAACGGUAACAGGCCUUCGGGUGCUGACGAGUGGCGAACGGGCGGGUAAUGCAUCGGAACGUGCCCAGCGGUGGGGGUUAACGCAGCGAAAGCUGUCCUAAUACCGCAUGUGAUCUGAGGAUGAAAGCGGGGGACCAGGCAGCAAUGUUUGGCCUCGCGCCUCUGGAGCGGCCGAUGUCAGAUUAGGUAGUUGGUGGGGUAAAGGCCUACCAAGCCGACGAUCUGUAGCCGGUCUGAGAGGACGACAGGCGACAUGGGAACGGAGACAGGCCCAAGACGCCUGAGGGAGGCAGCAGUGGGGAACUUUGGACAAUAGGGGCAAGCCUGAUCCAGCAAUGCGGCGUGCGAGAAGAAGGCCUUCGGGUUGUAAACCGCGUUUGUACGGAACGAACCGGCUCUGGCUAAUACCUGGGGCUGAUGACGGUACCGUAAGAAUAAGCACCGGCUAACUACGUG